AGGUUCGAAUCCUGCACGACCCACCAAUCGUUCGGUGGAAACGAGAAUAAAGCGUGAAGGAUAACGUUGCGUCAGCAACGGCCCGUAGGGCGAGGCGAAGCCGAGUCAUCCUGCACGACCCACCA
rnacentral:sRNA from 1 species